rnacentral:lncRNA from 1 species
AGGAAAGGUCGCACGUGUGUCUGUAAAUCGAAAGGUUGAUGAGGCGCAGGUGGUCCUGCUCCGCGGAGAUUGCGGUAUUAGCAUGUCAAAGCCAAAAUGGAACCAAGGUUUCAGAGAUGACAAGGAAAAUCUUCAUUACCAUUUCAAGAACUGGGAACAAAGAAAAAUCCCAUUCCAGGACACAGGGAGGAAAUGCUCAUAGUUGAAUAGAAACUGUUGAAGAUUACCAUGGGAAUGCACCUGUGAACUUCCAGGGGGCUGUGCCCCCCAUCAGGUCAGUUUUCUUUAUGUCAUUCACAAUUUCCAGGGAUCAUGUCCAUGAUAAAGAACAAGAACUUUUUCACAGGCUACUGAAGCAUAUGUUUGACUUCCUAAAGAGCCAGCCGGGCACAAUGGCUCACACAUGUAAUCCCAGCAUUUUGGAAAGCUGAGGCGGGUGGAUCACCUGAGGUCAGGGGUUCAAACUAGCCUGGCUAACAUGGUUAAACCCCAUCUCUACUAAAAAUACAAACAUUAGCCAGGGGUGGUGGCAGGUACCUGUAAUCCCAGCUACUUGGGAGAAUGAUCCAGGAGAAUCACUUGAACCUGGAAGGCGGAGGUUGUAGUGAUCGGAGAUCCUGCUGUUGCACUUUAGCCUGGGGGACGAGAGCAAGAUGUUGUCUCAAAAAAACAAACAACAAAAAAAAAACC